rnacentral:rRNA from 1 species
CCUACGGGUGGCAGCAGUGAGGAAUAUUGGUCAAUGGACGCAAGUCUGAACCAGCCAUGCCGCGUGCAGGAAGACGGCUCUAUGAGUUGUAAACUGCUUUUGUACGAGGGUAAACGCAGAUACGCGUAUCUGUCUGAAAGUAUCGUACGAAUAAGGAUCGGCCAACUCCGUGCCAGCAGCCGCGGUAAAACGGAGGAUUCAAGCGUUAUCCGGAUUUAUUUGGUUUAAAGGGUGCGUAGGCGGUCGGAUAAGUUAGAGGUGAAAUCCCGAGGCUCAACUUCGGAAUUGCCUCUGAUACUGUUGAUCUAGAGAGUAGAUGCGGUAGGCGGAAUGUAUGGUGUAGCGGUGAAAUGCUUAGAGAUCAUACAGAACACCGAUGGCGAAGGCAGCUUACCAAUCUAUAUCUGACGUUGAGGCACGAAAGCGUGGGGAGCAAACAGGAUUAGAUACCCGGGUAGUC